CCCAUAGCUCAGUUGGUUAGAGCAGAGGACUCAUAAUCCUUUGGUCGAAGGUUCAAGCCCUUCUGGG
rnacentral:tRNA from 1 species